UUACCAAACGGGUCUGAUGUACCGAUACCGUUUAAACUUUGUCUUUAACCCAGUGGUAAAACUUGUGUUAAGAUAAAAAAAAAAAAGGAGAACACGUGAGGCACGUGAUACUCUCGGCUCCUUAAUAUCAUCUCGACCAAUUCGAAAGCCCUAGAGGCAGAGUUCUUCUCUCUACUGUCCGAAGCUCUCCCCCCCCACCAACCCAGAUCUCAAUUCUCAUUCAGGAAAAAAAAGAUGAGCAGCCGUUCGAGCAGAACUAUCUACGUCGGGAACCUUCCCGGAGAUAUCCGCGAGAGAGAAGUCGAAGAUUUGUUCAGUAAGUAUGGACCUGUUGUCCAAAUCGAUUUGAAGAUCCCACCAAGACCUCCUGGCUACGCCUUCGUCGAGUUUGAGGAUCCUCGGGAUGCUGAUGAUGCAAUUCACGGUCGUGAUGGAUAUGACUUCGAUGGCCAUUGCUUAAGGGUGGAGCUAGCACAUGGUGGGAGGCGUUCGUCUAAUGAUGCUCGUGGUAGUUACGGUGGUGGUGGUAGUCGUGGUGGUGGCGGCGGUCGUGAUGGUGGUGACCGUGGGCGUGGGCCGUCUAGGAGAUCUGAGUACCGAGUUGUUGUGUCAGGUUUGCCUUCUUCUGCUUCCUGGCAAGACCUCAAGGAUCACAUGCGUAAAGGAGGAGAAGUCUGUUUCUCUCAAGUGUUCCGUGAUGGUAGAGGUAUCUUCUCAUAUCUUGCACAAGAAUAUAGCUGUUUGUGUGAUUUCUACAUGGAAAUGUUAAGCAUCUAUAUCUUGGACUGUUUAUAUACAGGUACAACUGGAAUCGUAGAUUAUACGAGCUACGAGGACAUGAAAUAUGCGAUCAAAAAGCUUGAUGACACAGAGUUUCGGAAUGCGUUUUCUCGUGGAUAUGUCCGGGUUAGGGAAUAUGAUUCGAGGAAGGACUCGAGAAGCCCUAGCCGUGGAAGAUCUUAUUCUAAGAGCCGUAGUCGCAGCCGUGGGCGUAGCCACAGCCGCAGUCUUAGCCGCAGCAGAAGCAGGAGCAGGAGUCCAAAGGCUAAAUCUUCGCGUAGGUCGCCUGCAAAAUCAACAUCGAGAUCUCCUCGUUCCCGCUCUAAGUCAAGGACACCACCUCCAAGAGGAUAUGGAUAUACGUACAAUCAACUAAAAAUUGGGGAUUAAUAUCUGGAUCAUGGAUUACUUGUACACAAGUGUUUCGUCUCAGAGAUGGGUAACACAGGAGAGACAUUGGAUCACAUUGUUAUAGAUAUGGAUUCAUUGAUGACAGAGCUAGGAACAUAUAUUUUCAUUACCUGCAAAAUCACCAAGCGUGCUGGAUUCUCAUGGAACCGAUGCUGUGCUCAGGACACAGGGUUUGCUAGAACUUGUCUUAGUCUUAGUUUAUGUUCUCUGCUAGUUUGUGUUCUUUUUUGCUUUCUUGUGAUAUGAUUUUUGCAUCUCUGACAUGAAUGAGGGCAUCAAGGCACUUGGUGAAACAGCUAUUAUACACGGAAAACAUAUUAGGAUUCUAAACCUGGAUAUUGUUUCUCGGACUUUUGCAGAUCUCGUUCAAGGUCAAGAUCCCCUCCACCUCCUGUUCACAAGGAAGCAAGUAAGAGCCCUAGCAAGGUGAGUCCAGCCAAGAGCCCUAUGCGUAGCAGGAGCAGAAGCAGGAGUCCAUCUCGGUAAACAAAAAAGAAAAGAGAGCUGGGUUUUGUUGGAAGAUUCUCCUAAGGGAUCAUAUCUAUUUUAUGUUGUUUGUUUGUCUAAGACUUUAAGUACCUAUAUUACUCUUGUUUUUAUUUUAUUUUUAAAUGUAUUCACUGCAACAAUAUGUGUUUAAGAUUCUCUUAAAAGAUCUUUGCUUUUGUUUUUUA